rnacentral:lncRNA from 1 species
AUUCCCAAUGCAGCAAGGCUGCUGCAGCCACGAUGAUUAGGCUUUGGAGGAGGAAGUGAACGGAUGGGGCCUCAUCCUCCUGCCUCCCUAAAGGGUGAGGGUGGAAGGAUGGGGCUGUGCCCUCUUAGGGCAGGGAAAAACAGCUUGGAGGGGUUUCUGCCAUCAGAGAUCCCAUAGGAGGCAGAUGCUCGCUUCACCCCACUGAGAUGUAACUCAGUUUUGUGGGAUCCCACUGCCCUCCAGGUGCCGCUCCGAGUGCUCUACACAGAUUUUCAUUCAGUCCUUGCGGCACACGAAGAGUGGCUGUACCAUUUUGCAUUCCCAGACCGAAGUGUGAAAGCUCCAGAUGCCCCACGCCCUCACCAGCCCACGGUGUUGUCAGCCUUAAUAGUGCUGACCAUUCUGCCUGUUAAUAUGAUGAAUUACACUGAUUCAGUUUCAAAUGUCCAACCAAGCUUGCACUCCAGAGAUGAAGCCCACUUGAUCACAUGGAUUAUUCUUUUAAUAUAUGAUGGAUACGACUUGGCUGUUCUUUUGUUGAGGAUUUUUGUGUUUAUGUUAAUGAGGAUAUUAUUUGUAGUUUUCUUUUCUUGUAAUGUUUUUGUCUUUGUUCAGUGUCAGAGUAAUGCCAACUUCAUAAAGUGAGCUGGGAAGUACUCCCUCAUUUUCUGUUUUCUGUGAAAGAAUUGUAUAGAAUUGAUGUUAUUUCUUCCUUAAGUGUUGAGUAGAAUUCACUUGCAAAGCCAUCUGAGGUUGACAUCUUCUUUGGGAAUGACUUUAGCUAUAAAUUCAAUUUAUUUAACAGAUAUAGGGCUAUUAAGGUUAUUUAAUUUUUUUCUUGAAUGAGCUUUAGUGUCCUGUGUUUUUCAAGGAAUUUUUCCAUUUUAUUUAAGUUUUUAGAUUUGUUGGCAUAAAGUUAUCCCAAUAUUUCCUUAGAAGUUGUGACUUUUACUGCAUAUAAAACAUACCUCAAUAAAGCUAAUACAUACAUA